rnacentral:rRNA from 1 species
AAGAAAACAAAAAAGGGCAAUUUCGAGAUACUUUUAUAUGGAGGGGUUGUUUAUUUCUAAUUGUAUGUCUGUUAAU